AUUCUACUCCCUCCGUUGCACAAUACAUGCCUUCUAUUUGUCAAAAUAUAUAUGUAUCUAGACAUGUCUUAAUACAUAGGUACAUCCAUUUUUGGACAAAUGGAAGUCAAGUAUUUUGGAACGGAGGGAGUACACA
rfam:Triticum aestivum genome assembly, contig: Triticum_aestivum_CS42_TGACv1_scaffold_001438_1AL